CUGGCUAAACUUUCAAUCCUGUAGAUGCCUCCAACCCCAAGUUAAAUAAAAGGCCAGAUGUUUUUUGUCUUAGCAGAAAUACGACAUAACCCUAGAAAAGAUUAAUACCUGUCCUUUGUCCUGUUGAGCUCACCAAUGCCACUAAAGUCCUCAAAGUGGAUGGUUUCCAUUUGGUUUUCAGAAGGCACUUAGAGUGACUCCUGGACAAUAGUAACAACUGGGUCCCUGGACAGAAUUGCAUCUCCCUUCACCAAGGAAUUCCAAGAAAUUGGCAUGAGAGUUGCCCAGAGUGAUCUUGGCAAAAGACGAAGAGUGGAUGAAAUAGACAUGGAUCCCAUGGCUUGAAUAAGUUUGAAAAUCCCUGAACUGCAUUAUGUGUGCGGGAAUGGACUUUCUACCCUGGUUGGUCACUGUGGCCAUUUAGCUAGCCGUUCGCAGACCAUGGAGAGCAUCUUGCCAAUAUGCUGCAAGAAGACAAUAUUCAGAGGAAUUCCAAAGAGAGCAAAAAAGACACAGAAAAGCUGACCACCAGCCGUUUUGGGAGAGAGGUUUCCGUAGCCUGUGAAAACAUGAAAUUUACAGAGAAUAUACUGGUGAGCAUUAUGUUAUGUUGCAACAAAAAAAAUGCCCUUUAUCCUGAGCAAAUGACAGAAUAGAACCCCAAUAAAAGAUGUAUAUUAUUUA